rnacentral:misc_RNA from 1 species
UUCUCCAGCAAUGCCCUUUGUA